CACGCCCUAAACGAUGGAUACUAGGCGUAAGAGGUAUCGACCCCUCUUGUGCCGUAGCUAACGCAUUAAGUAUCCCGCCUGGGGAGUACGGCCGCAAGGUUGAAACUCAAAUGAAUUGACGGGGACCCGCACAAGCGGUGGAGCAUGUGGAUUAAUUCGAUACUAACCGAAGAACCUUACCCAGGUUUGACAUCGAAGGCAAUCCUGUGAAAGCAGGCCCCCGGCCCACAAGGCCGGCCUGAAGACACCUGU
rnacentral:rRNA from 1 species